AGUGGCGGACGGGUGAGUAACGCGUGAGGAUCUGCCCUUAGGUUGGGGAUAACAGUUGGAAACGACUGCUAAUACCCAAUGUGCCGAGAGGUGAAAGGUUUACUGCCUGAGGAUGAGCUCGCGUCCAAUUAGCUAGUUGGUGGGGUAAUGGCGUACCAAGGCGACGAUCGGUAGCUGGUCUGAGAGGAUGAUCAGCCACACUGGGACUGAGACACGGCCCAGACUCCUACGGGAGGCAGCAGUGGGGAAUUUUCCGCAAUGGGCGAAAGCCUGACGGAGCAAGACCGCGUGCGGGAGGACGGCCUGUGGGUUGUAAACCGCUUUUGACAGGGAAGAAGCUCUGACGGUACCUGUCGAAUCAGCAUCGGCUAACUCCGUGCCAGCAGCCGCGGUAAUACGGAGGAUGCAAGCGUUAUCCGGAAUUAUUGGGCGUAAAGCGUCCGUAGGUGGUUGAGUAAGUCUGCUGUUAAAGCGUGGAGCUUAACUCCAUAUCGGCAGUGGAAACUACUUGACUUGAGUGCGGUAGGGGUCAGGGGAAUUCCCAGUGUAGCGGUGAAAUGCGUAGAUAUUGGGAAGAACACCGGUGGCGAAAGCGCCUGACUGGGCCUGCACUGACACUGAGGGACGAAAGCUAGGGGAGCGAAAGGGAUUAGAUACCCCUGUAGUCUUAGCUGUAAACGAUGGGCACUAGGCGUUG
rnacentral:rRNA from 1 species